rnacentral:tRNA from 1 species
AUUUAAAUAGCUUAAAUAGAGCAUAAUAUUGAAGAUAUUGGGGUGAUUAAUUAAUCUUUAAAUA